rnacentral:rRNA from 1 species
GACGAACGCUGGCGGCGUGCUUAACACAUGCAAGUCGAACGGAAAGGCCCUGCUUUUGUGGGGUGCUCGAGUGGCGAACGGGUGAGUAACACGUGAGUAACCUGCCCUUGACUUUGGGAUAACUUCAGGAAACUGGGGCUAAUACCGGAUAGGAGCUCCUGCUGCAUGGUGGGGGUUGGAAAGUUUCGGCGGUUGUGGAUGGACUCGCGGCUUAUCAGCUUGUUGGUGGGGUAGUGGCUGACCAAGGCUUUGACGGGUAGCCGGCCUGAGAGGGUGACCGGCCACAUUGGGACUGAGGUACGGCCCAGUCGCCUACGGGAGGCAGCGGUGGGGAAUAUUGCACAAUGGGCGGAAGCCUGAUGUGGCAGCGCCGCGUGCGGGAUGACGGCCUUCGGGGGGUGAACAGCUUUCGCCUGUGACGAAGCGUGAGUGACGGUAAUGGGUAAAGAAGCACCGGCUAACUACGUG